GACGAACGCUGGCGGCGUGCUUAACACAUGCAAGUCGAACGGAAAGGCCCUGCUUUUGUGGGGUGCUCGAGUGGCGAACGGGUGAGUAACACGUGAGUAACCUGCCCUUGACUUUGGGAUAACUUCAGGAAACUGGGGCUAAUACCGGAUAGGAGCUCCUGCUGCAUGGGGUGGGUUGGAAAGUUUCGGCGGUUGGGGAUGGACUCGCGGCUUAUCAGCUUGUUGGUGGGGUAGUGGCUUACCAAGGCUUUGACGGGUAGCCGGCCUGAGAGGGUGACCGGCCACAUUGGGACUGAGAUACGGCCCAGACUCCUACGGGAGGCAGCAGUGGGGAAUAUUGCACAAUGGGCGGAAGCCUGAUGCAGCAACGCCGCGUGCGGGAUGACGGCCUUCGGGUUGUAAACCGCUUUCGCCUGUGACGAAGCGUGAGUGACGGUAAUGGGUAAAGAAGCACCGGCUAACUACGUG
rnacentral:rRNA from 1 species